GAUGAACGCUGGCGGCGUGCCUAAUACAUGCAAGUCGAGCGAACGGACGAGAAGCUUGCUUUUCUGAUGUUAGCGGCGGACGGGUGAGUAACACGUGGAUAACCUACCUAUAAGACUGGGAUAACUUCGGGAAACCGGAGCUAAUACCGGAUAAUAUUUUGAACAGCAUGGUUCAAAAGUGAAAGACGGUCUUGCUGUCACUUAUAGAUGGAUCCGCGCUGCAUUAGCUAGUUGGUAAGGUAACGGCUUACCAAGGCAACGAUGCAUAGCCGACCUGAGAGGGUGAUCGGCCACACUGGAACUGAGACACGGUCCAGACUCCUACGGGAGGCAGCAGUAGGGAAUCUUCCGCAAUGGGCGAAAGCCUGACGGAGCAACGCCGCGUGAGUGAUGAAGGUCUUCGGAUCGUAAAACUCUGUUAUUAGGGAAGAACAUAUGUGUAAGUAACUGUGCACAUCUUGACGGUACCUAAUCAGAAAGCCACGGCUAACUACGUG
rnacentral:rRNA from 1 species